GGAGAACUUAAUUACCCCGUGACCUAGCUUUUCCCCUUUCCUCUUCUCCCUCAUGCGCGCGACAAAUCUGUGCAGGCGGAAAACGCCGCACGAAGCCGAGCUAGGGCUCGUCUCCGGCGGCCGGCGAGCACCCUUCUCCGCGGGUUCUUCACAGAUCCGAGCUCUCCUCGAUGAGGAGAGCGUGUAGACGUGAGGAAUCACCGGAUUUGGAGUGUUGCCGAAGCCCUAGAAGCUUCUUCUCCGAUGUGAGUCCAAGAACGCGAAGAUAAAGGAAAGGAAAAGAUCUAGCAAGGAAAGCGACAAGGUGGUGCGGAUGGUGUGUGAUGCGUGGAUUGUGGGAGAGAUCAGGGGAAUUGAGUCAUACUUUAUGCUUAUUGUCGACUGAGAUUGUUAAAGAGUUAUUUCUUAUUAUUCCGCAUUGUUAGUUUGGUUGUUUCCACUGUUGGAGCUUUAUUCAUGUACUAUUGCUAGAAUAGUUUGUUUUUA